AAAUGAAUAGACGGGGGCCCGCACAAGCGGUGGAGCAUGUGGUUUAAUUCGACGCAACGCGAAGAACCUUACCAGGGUUUGACAUCCUCUGCUCGCUAUAGAGAUAUAGUUUUUUCUUCGGAAACAGAGAGACAGGUGGUGCAUGGUUGUCGUCAGCUCGUGUCGUGAGAUGUUGGGUUAAGUCCCGCAACGAGCGCAACCCCUGUACUUAGUUGCUAACAUUAAGUUGAGCACUCUAAGUAGACUGCCGGUGACAAACCGGAGGAAGGUGGGGAUGACGUCAAAUCAUCAUGCCCCUUAUGUCCUGGGCUACACACGUGCUACAAUGGUUGGUACAAAGGGCAGCGAAGCCGCAAGGCGAAGCAAAUCCCAAAAAGCCGAUCACAGUUCGGAUUGCAGGCUGAAACUCGCCUGCAUGAAGCAGGAAUCGCUAGUAAUCGCAGGUCAGCAUACUGCGGUGAAUACGUUCCCGGGCCUUGUACACACCGCCCGU
rnacentral:rRNA from 1 species